AGAGUUUGAUCAUGGCUCAGAGCGAACGCUGGCGGCAUGCUUAACACAUGCAAGUCGCACGGGCAGGGCAACCUGUCAGUGGCGGACGGGUGAGUAACGCGUAGGUAUCUAUCCUUGGGUGGGGGACAACCGUGGGAAACUACGGCUAAUACCGCAUGAUGACUGAGGUCCAAAGGCGCAAGUCGCCUGGGGAGGAGCCUGCGUACGAUUAGCUAGUUGGUGGGGUAAAGGCCUACCAAGGCGACGAUCGUUAGCUGGUCUGAGAGGAUGAUCAGCCACAUUGGGACUGAGACACGGCCCAAACUCCUACGGGAGGCAGCAGUGGGGAAUAUUGGACAAUGGGCGCAAGCCUGAUCCAGCAAUGCCGCGUGUGUGAAGAAGGUCUUCGGAUUGUAAAGCACUUUCGACGGGGACGAUGAUGACGGUACCCGUAGAAGAAGCCCCGGCUAACUUCGUGCCAGCAGCCGCGGUAAUACGAAGGGGGCUAGCGUUGCUCGGAAUGACUGGGCGUAAAGGGCGCGUAGGCGGAUGACACAGUCAGAUGUGAAAUUCCCGGGCUUAACCUGGGGGCUGCAUUUGAUACGUGUUGUCUAGAGUGAGGAAGAGGGUAGUGGAAUUCCCAGUGUAGAGGUGAAAUUCGUAGAUAUUGGGAAGAACACCGGUGGCGAAGGCGGCUGCCUGGUCCUUGACUGACGCUGAGGCGCGAAAGCGUGGGGAGCAAACAGGAUUAGAUACCCUAGUAGUCC
rnacentral:rRNA from 1 species